rnacentral:rRNA from 1 species
GACGAACGCUGGCGGCGUGCUUAACACAUGCAAGUCGAACGGAAAGGCCCUGCUGUGGUGGUGUGCUCGAGUGGCGAACGGGUGAGUAACACGUGAGUAACCUGCCCAUGACUUUGGGAUAACUUCAGGAAACUGGGGCUAAUACCGGAUAGGAGCUCCUGCUGCAUGGUGGGGGUGGGAAAGUUUCGGCGGUUGGGGAUGGACUCGCGGCUUAUCAGCUUGUUGGUGGGGUAGUGGCUUACCAAGGCUUUGACGGGUAGCCGGCCUGAGAGGGUGACCGGCCACAUUGGGACUGAGAUACGGCCCAGACUCCUACGGGAGGCAGCAGUGGGGAAUAUUGCACAAUGGGCGGAAGCCUGAUGCAGCAACGCCGCGUGCGGGAUGACGGCCUUCGGGUUGUAAACCGCUUUCGCCUGUGACGAAGCGUGAGUGACGGUAAUGGGUAAAGAAGCACCGGCUAACUACGUG